UGGGAUUUGGCUCAAUGGUAGAGUGCUUGCCUAGCAUGUGUGAGGCACUGGGUUUGAUUCUCAGCAUCACAU
rnacentral:tRNA from 1 species